rnacentral:rRNA from 1 species
GUGACGGUAGGUAGAUAAGAAGCACCGGCUAACUACGUGCCAGCAGCCGCGGUAAUACGUAGGGUGCGAGCGUUGUCCGGAAUUACUGGGCGUAAAGAGCUCGUAGGUGGUUUGUCGCGUCGUCUGUGGAAGUCCGGGGCUUAACUCCGGGGGGUGCAGGCGAUACGGGCAUAACUUGAGUGCUGUAGGGGAGACUGGAAUUCCUGGUGUAGCGGUGGAAUGCGCAGAUAUCAGGAGGAACACCGAUGGCGAAGGCAGGUCUCUGGGCAGUUACUGACGCUGAGGAGCGAAAGCAUGGGUAGCGAACAGGAUUAGAUACCCUGGUAGUCCAUGCUGUAAACGGUGGGCGCUAGGUGUAGGGAACUUCCACGUUUUCUGUGCCGUAGCUAACGCAUUAAGCGCCCCGCCUGGGGAGUACGGCCGCAAGGCUAAAACUCAAAGGAAUUGACGG